rnacentral:rRNA from 1 species
UACGUAGGGCGCAAGCGUUGUCCGGCAUUAUUGGGCGUAAAGAGCGCGCAGGCGGUCGUUCAAGUCGAGUGUGAAAGCCCCCGGCUCAACUGGGGAGGGUCAUUCGAUACUGAUCGACUCGAAGGCAGGAGAGGGAAGUGGAAUUCCCGGUGUAGUGGUGAAAUGCGUAGAUAUCGGGAGGAACACCAGUGGCGAAGGCGACUUCCUGGCCUGUUCUUGACGCUGAGGCGCGAAAGCUAGGGGAGCAAACGGG